CAGAAAAGCACACUCAGUUUGGUGUUAACAAAAUACUUUUUUUUUUCAUGCCAGCCGUUACCGUUUUAGUUGUGUGGUUUUGCGCAUAUUGAAUGUUUCAGUUUUAGUUACCAAUUUGAAAGAGUAAGAUCGAGACAACGUUUUUCGUGCAGUUUGGUUUUUAAAUAUUUUAUAUAACUUGCUUAAGUGAAAAAAAGGAUAAACUUUGCCAUAAAUUAUUUGGAUAAAUUUUAAAACGCAAAAUGUCCACAAAAACGUGAAAGAUCAGUGAUUCUACAGCAUUGUUGGUGUAGUGUGUGUGGAAAUGAAAAAAAGUAUGUUUGUCAUGUCGCUUGUUUAGUCUAUUUGGACCUUAAUAAUUUCCCAGAUUUUCGAAAAUUCAUAUGAAUGUCAAAUUUUAAUUUUGUUCGAUUUUUUUUAUUUAACAUUAAAAAUGUUGUUGUUUUUGGUUAAGAUGACCAUAUCUGUUUGUAGUGUAACAAACCUGAGACUCUGGUGGGAAUUGAACCCACAACCGCUGACUGACAGUGUAGCACACUGCCAUGUACUUCACCGGGGUACAAAACAUUACAAAAGUAAUACUACUUUACGAUUAUAAUCGAAUUGUUAAUCUUUAAGUAAUUUUUUAAGAAGACUUUGUAUGAUAGGUAAGGUCAAAUGAAGUUAGAUCCUUACGAAAAUUAGCAGUUUAAUCUUUACUUACAUAUCACAAAGCCUUGCUGAAAGAUACUAAAAUAUUUGACAUAAAUAUGGACUUAAAAGAACUAUGUUGGGGGUACGCACGUUUGUGCCAAAUUUAAAAAAAAAAAUCUUAA